rnacentral:rRNA from 1 species
UACGUAGGUGGCAAGCGUUGUCCGGAAUUGUUGGGCGUAAAGAGCUCGUAGGCGGUUUGUCGCGUCUGCUGUGAAAACUCGGGGCUUAACUCCGGGCCUGCAGUGGGUACGGGCAGACUAGAGUGCGGUAGGGGAGACUGGAAUUCCUGGUGUAGCGGUGAAAUGCGCAGAUAUCAGGAGGAACACCGGUGGCGAAGGCGGGUCUCUGGGCCGUAACUGACGCUGAGGAGCGAAAGCGUGGGGAGCGAACAGG